GCGGCAGAUGGCGACCCGCGCCGCGGCUGAGUCCGCAUCCAUUGCGCGACUCAUUGGCGAAGCACAUAGCUUGACGGGCGAAGGCGUGGGCCUCAGCCAGCAGGUGAAUGCCGGAUUUCAGCAGGUGGAGGUCCAGGCCCGAACGGCCAGCGCUCGUAUGACCGAGGUGCAUGCCAUGACGCAUGAUCUGCUCACCG
rnacentral:misc_RNA from 1 species